rnacentral:misc_RNA from 1 species
CACUAUAUCUACGGCCCAUCAGCAUACGCACAGACCGCGCGCUCGGUCGACUACUGGCUAGCUUGUUUCAGUCGUCCGAUCUGAUCUACAGAAAAAGCAGGGGCAGGGCAGCUAGCCAUGAUUCAGAUGAACAUGAAGCAGCCUCUCGUGCUGCCCGCGCACCGGGGCAAUGUCAUCGGCUCGCGCCUGGCGUCGUCGCCCUCUCCGGUGGCGGCGGCGGCGGCGGCGGCCAGCAGGCGGAGGGGCGUCGUGUCCUCCCCCCGCUCCCGGCUCCAGCGCCACAUGCGGCUGCCGAGGAUCAGCUGCAGCGCCACCGAGGAGGCCAGCGGCGCCGUGUCGGCCGUCACCGUGGAGAAGAUGCUGACGGUGACGGCCUCGGUGCAGGCGGCGCCGGCCAUCGGUCAGAUGUACUUCCAGCGCGCCCUCGACGACGCCGGCGACUUCUUCGGCAAGACGCUGCUGAUGGAACUCGUCAGCUCCGAGGUCGACGCAAAGACGGGUCUGGAGAAGCCGCGGGUGACGGCGUUCGCUCACAAGACGCUGCGGGAGGGCCACUACGAGGCGGAGUUCAAGGUGCCGGCGUCGUUCGGGCCCGUGGGCGCGGUGCUGCUGGAGAACGAGCACCACAAGGAGAUCUUCAUCAGGGAGAUCAAGCUCGUCACGGGCAGCGACAGCAGCACCGCCGUCACCUUCGGCUGCAACUCCUGGGUGCACUCCAAGUUCGACAACCCGGAGAAGCGCAUCUUCUUCACCCUCAAGUCCUACCUGCCGUCCGACACGCCCAAGGGCCUGGAGGACCUGAGGAAGAAGGACCUGCAGGCGCUUCGGGGCGACGGCCACGGCGAGCGCAAGGCGUCCGAGCGCGUCUACGACUACGACGUGUACAACGACCUGGGCGACCCGGACAAGAACCCCGCCCACCAGCGGCCCGUGCUGGGCGGCAGCAAGCGGUACCCGUACCCGCGCCGCUGCCGCACCGGUCGCCCCAGGACCAGGAAGGACCCCGAGGCGGAGGUGCGCCAUGGGCACAACUACGUGCCCCGCGACGAGCAGUUCUCGGAGGUCAAGCAGCUCACGUUCGGGGCCACGACGCUGCGCUCGGGCCUGCACGCGCUGCUCCCGGCCAUCAGGCCGAUGCUCAUCAAGAGGGAGCUGCGCUUCCCGCACUUCCCGGCCAUCGACGACCUCUACAGCGACGGCAUCCCGCUGCCGGCGCAGACCGGGUUGGGCGCCAUCCGCAGCAUCGUCCCGCGCGUGGUCAAGCUGGUGGAGGACACCACCGAGCACGUCCUCCGCUUCGAGCUGCCGGACAUGAUAGAGAGAGACCGCUUCUCGUGGUUCAAAGACGAGGAGUUCGCGAGGCAGACGAUCGCGGGGCUCAACCCGCUGUGCAUCCAGCUCCUGACGGAGUUCCCCAUCAGGAGCAAGCUGGACCCGGAGGUGUACGGCCCGGCGGAGUCCGCCAUCACCAAGGAGAUCCUGGAGAAGCACAUGAGCGGCGGCGCCGCCAUGACCGUGGAGCAGGCGCUCGCGGCGAAGCGUCUGUUCAUCCUGGACUACCACGACGUGUUCCUGCCCUACGUGCACAGGGUGCGCGAGCUGCCGGACACGACGCUCUACGGCUCCCGCACCGUCUUCUUCCUCACGGACCUGGGCACGCUGAUGCCGCUGGCCAUCGAGCUGGUGCGGCCCAAAUCGCCGACGCAGCCGCAGUGGAAGCGGGUGUUCACGCACGGGCCCGACGCCACCGACGCCUGGCUGUGGAAGCUUGCCAAGGCGCACGUGGUGACCCACGACACGGGGUACCACCAGCUGGUGAGCCACUGGCUGCGCACGCACUGCUGCGUGGAGCCCUACAUCAUUGCCGCGAACCGGCAGCUCAGCCGGCUGCACCCGGUGUACCGCCUCCUGCACCCGCACUUCCGCUACACCAUGGAGAUCAACGCGCUGGCCAGGGAGGCGCUCAUCAACGCCGACGGCAUCAUCGAGGAGUCCUUCUGGCCGGGCAGGUACGCCGUCGAGCUCAGCUCAGCGGCGUACGGCGCCACGUGGCAGUUCGACACGGAGGCGCUGCCCAACGACCUCGUCAAGCGUGGGCUCGCCGUGCGCCGGGACGACGGCGAGCUGGAGCUCACCAUCAAGGACUACCCCUACGCGCACGACGGGCUCAUGGUCUGGAACACCAUAAGGCAGUGGGCGGCCGACUACGUCAACGUCUACUACAAGUCCGACGAGGCCGUCGCCGCCGACCCCGAGCUGAAGGCGUUCUGGGACGAGGUGCGCAACGUGGGCCACGGCGACAAGAAGGACGAGCCGUGGUGGCCCGUGCUCGACACCCGCGACAGCCUCGCGGAGACGCUCACCACCAUCAUGUGGGUCACCUCCGGCCACCACUCGGCGGUCAACUUCGGGCAGUACCACUUCGGCGGAUACUUCCCGAACCGCCCGACCACCAUCCGGAAGAGCAUGCCCGUGGAGGAGGAGGCGGGCCGGGACGAAGAGAUGAAGAAGUUCCUGAAGCAGCCGGAGACGACCCUGCUGGACAUGCUGCCGACGCAGAUGCAGGCCAUCAGGGUGAUGACGACGCUGGACAUCCUCUCGUCGCACUCGCCCGACGAGGAGUACAUGGGAGAGUUGGCGGAGCCGUCGUGGCUGGAGGAGCCCAUGGUGAAGGCGGCGUUCGAGAAGUUCGGCGGCAGGAUGAAGGAGAUCGAGGGAUUCAUCGACGAGUGCAACAACAACCCGGAGCUCAGGAACCGGUGCGGAGCAGGGAUCGUGCCGUACGAACUGCUCAAGCCCUUCUCCAAGCCGGGAGUCACCGGGAGGGGCAUCCCCAACAGCAUCUCCAUUUGACCCGUCCGUCCUCUCCAUCCAAUGGGGGUUUGCCUUAUUGCGUGCACGCUAGCUAGCUGCUUGGAAAUAAAAAUAAUUAAAAUAAAAGGUCUCGUCUGUACUAUUGUAUUGUACCAUGGAUCAUAUCGUACAUGUUGUGUCAAUGCAAAGAGGCACGUUUGAGUUACCAUUAGGAUGACAUUACUAGCAGAUCCUUUUUAUGUUAUCGUCUUUAGAACUUUGGAUGACCAAGAAAUACUGCCAGAUUAUAAAUAACCUACCCGGCCGGAGGGAGAUCAAAAUUUGGCAACGUCGUCCCUAUGUGUAAAAGACUUACUAGAAAACGAAAGG